rnacentral:rRNA from 1 species
AUUGAACGCUGGCGGCAUGCCUUACACAUGCAAGUCGAACGGUAACGGGUCCUUCGGGAUGCCGACGAGUGGCGAACGGGUGAGUAAUACAUCGGAACGUGCUCAGUAGUGGGGGAUAACUGCUCGAAAGAGCAGCUAAUACAGCAUACGACACGAGGGUGAAAGGUGGGGAUAGCAAGACCUCUCGCUAUCGGAUCGGCGGAGAUAAGAUUAGCGAGUUGGGGGGGUAAAGGCCUACCAAGGCAACGAUCUGUAAUUGGUCUGAGAGGACGACCGGCCACACUGGGACUGAGACACUGCCCAGACUCCUACGGGAGGCAGCAGUGGGGAAUUUUGGACAAUGGGCGCAAGCCUGAUCCAGCAAUGCCGCGUGCAGGAAGAAGGCCUUCGGGUUGUAAACUGCUUUUGUCAGGGAAGAAAUCUUCUGGGCUAAUACCCCGGGAGGAUGACGGUACCUGAAGAAUAAGCACCGGCUAACUACGUGCCAGCAGCCGCCGUAA